rnacentral:rRNA from 1 species
ACCUGCAGUUGAUGUUUGAUUUUUAACAUAGCGAACGGGUGAGUAACGCGUGAAUUAUCUACCUUUUAAUUCAGAAUAAUUAUUUUAUAUAAAAAUACUGAAUAAAUAAAUUAAAGUUAUAAAACGUUAAAAGAUGAGUUUGCGUAAGAUUAGGUAGUUGGUAGUUUAAAAGACUACCAAGCCGACUAUCUUUAGCUGGUUUGAAAGAAUGAUCAGCCACAUUGGGACUGAGACACGGCCCAAACUUUUUUAAAGGCAGCAGUGAGGAAUUUUGGACAAUGAGCGAAAGCUUGAUCCAGCAAUACCAAGUGAGUGAAGAAGGCUAAUUAGGUUGUAAAGCUCUUUCAUUAAGGAGGAAAAUGACAGUACUUAAAAAAGAAGUUCCGGCUAAUACCCGUGCCAGCAGCCGCGGUAAUACGGGAGGAGCGAGCAUUAUUCGGAAUGAUUAGGCGUAAAGGGUUUGUAGGUGGUUUUUUAAGUUGAAAAAAGCAAAUUAAAGCUUAACUUUAUAAAUUUUUUCAAAACUGAGAAACUUGAGUAUAAAUAGAGGAUAAUGGAAUUUCUAUUGGAGGGAUAAAAUAUGUUGAUAAUAGAAGGAAGACCUAAAGCGAAGGCAAUUAUCUGGGUAUAUACUGACACUGAGAAACGAAAGCUUGGGGAGCGAACAGGAUUAGAGACCCUGGUAGUCCAUGCUGUAAACGAUGAGUGCUCAUAUUUAGAUUUUUUAGAUAUCAAGCUAACGCGUUAAGCACUCCGCCUGAAAAGUAUAAUCGCAAGAUCGAAAUUCAAAGGAAUUGACGGGAGCCUACACAAGCGGGUGGAGCAUGUGGUUUAAUUCGAUAAUACGCGCA